rnacentral:rRNA from 1 species
UACGAAGGGGGCUAGCGUUGUUCGGAAUUACUGGGCGUAAAGCGCACGUAGGCGGAUACUUAAGUCAGGGGUGAAAUCCCUGGGCUCAACCCAGGAACUGCGUCCGAUACUGGUUGGCUUGAAUCCGGGAGAGGGAUGUGGAAUUCCAGGUGUAGCGGUGAAAUGCGUAGAUAUCUGGAGGAACACCGGUGGCGAAGGCGACAUCCUGGACUGGUAUUGACGCUGAGGCGCGAAAGCCAGGGGAGCAAACGGG